UGGGGAAUAUUGCACAAUGGGCGCAAGCCUGAUGCAGCAACGCCGCGUGCGGGAUGACGGCCUUCGGGUUGUAAACCGCUUUCAGUUCCGACGAAGCGCAAGUGACGGUAGGAACAGAAGAAGGACCGGCCAACUACGUGCCAGCAGCCGCGGUGAUACGUAGGGUCCGAGCGUUGUCCGGAAUUAUUGGGCGUAAAGGGCUUGUAGGCGGUUUGUCACGUCGGAAGUGAAAACUCAGGGCUCAACCCUGAGCCUGCUUCCGAUACGGGCAAACUAGAGGGAUGCAGGGGAGAAUGGAAUUCCUGGUGGAGCGGUGGAAUGCGCAGAUAUCAGGAGGAACACCGGUGGCGAAGGCGGUUCUCUGGGCAUUUCCUGACGCUGAGAAGCGAAAGCGUGGGGAGCAAACA
rnacentral:rRNA from 1 species